CAAAUAAUAGUUUAAUUUAAAAUAGCAAUAUUGGAAAUUGUUGAUUUAGCGUUAUUAUAAGAUGCUAAUUAUUUGA
rnacentral:tRNA from 1 species